GGACUACUCGGGUUUCUAAUCCCAUUCGCUACCCACGCUUUCGUGUUUCAGCGUCAGGAGUGCGCCAGUGAAUUGCCUUCGCUUUUGGUGUUCCCCAUAAUAUCAACGGAUUUCACCCCUACACUAUGAGUUCCAUUCACCUCUCGCAUCCUCAAGUCAUGCCGUUUCCCCUGCGGACCCCCGGUUAAGCCGAAGAAUUUCACAGAAGACUAACAUAACCGCCUACACACCCUUUACGCCCAAUAAUUCCGGAUAACGCUCGAGGCACUCGUAUUACCGCGGCUGCUGGCAC
rnacentral:rRNA from 1 species